rfam:Canis lupus familiaris chromosome 12, whole genome shotgun sequence.
GGAUGUGAGGGCGAUCUGGCUGCAACAUCUGUCACCCCAUUGAUCGCCAGGGUUGAUCUGGCUGGCUAGGCGGGUGUCCCCUUCCUCCCUCACCGCUCCAUGUGCUUCCCUCCCGAAGCUGCAUGCUCCAUCGAAGAGGAUCACCUUCCCCAGUACAGGAGGACUAUUAUUCAGUCAAGGGUAUACGAGUAGCUGCGCUCCCCUGCUAGAACCUCCAAACAAGCUCUCAAGGUCCGUUUGUAGGAGAACGUAGGGUAGUCAAGCUUCCAAGACUCCAGACACAUCCAAAUGAGGUGCUGCACGUGGCAGUCUGCCUUUAAAA